GGUGCUGCAAUAUGCAGUAUUCAGACUGUUUUUAUCUAGUUUUUCAAUUAUGCAGAAAUCAGAGUUUUACAAUUAUACUAGUUUGGGCAACAAAAAUCACAUUAUAAUGAAAAUAACUAUAAAUAUUCAUUCUCCUCAUACCCUGGGUUCUUCA